rnacentral:rRNA from 1 species
CUUGAACCUUAUAAGAGGUAACGCCUGCCCAGUGAUUUAAUAUUUAACGGCCGCGGUAUUCUGACCGUGCAAAGGUAGCGUAAUCAUUUGUCUUUUAAAUAAAGACUAGUAUGAAUGGCAUCACGAGGACUUAACUGUCUCCCUAAUUUAAUCAGUGAAACUGAUCUUCCUGUGAAAAAGCAGGAAUAACUUAAUAAGACGAGAAGACCCUAUGGAGCUUAAAAUCUAUAUCUACCUAUAUUUUCUGUUAAUAAAAUACCACUAAUUUAUAGACUUAGAUAAAGUUUUUGGUUGGGGCGACAAUGGAGAACAACUUAUCCUCCAUGAAGAAAAACUUUGAGUUACCACUCUUAGUAGUAGCAAGCCUAACUUAAAUUGAUCCAAAUUUUUUGAUCAACGGAACA